AUCCUUUUAUAGUUCAUAAGCGUGAUGACUGGGUGUACACACGUGUAAGAUGUGCCUCCCUCACACCUCAGUACAACAUUGGCAUAUUACCCAUCCCACA
ensembl:snoRNA